rnacentral:rRNA from 1 species
GACGAACGCUGGCGGCGUGCUUAACACAUGCAAGUCGAACAGUGGCGAACGGGUGAGUAACACGUGAGUAACCUGCCCUCCACUUUGGGAUAACUCCGAGAAAUCGGGGCUAAUACUGGAUAGUGGGGGAUGGGCUCGCGGCCUAUCAGUUUUGUGGUGAGGUAGUGGUCACCAAGGCGUGACGGGUAGCCGGCCUGAGAGGGCGACGGGCCACACUGGGACUGGGACACGGCCCAGCAUCCUCCGGGAGGCAGCAGUGGGGAAUUUUGCAAAAUGGGCGAAACCCUGUUGCAGCGCCCCCGCGGGGGGGAUGCCGGCCUUCGGGUUGAAAACCUCUUCCAGCAAGGAAGCGUGACUUGCAGAAUAAGCGCCGGCUAACUACGUGCCAGCCGCCGCGGUAAUAC